UAACAGUUAGAAAUGACUGCUAAUACCGGAUGAUGUCUUCGGACCAAAGAUUUAUCGGCAAGGAUGAGCCCGCGUAGGAUUAGGUAGUUGGUGGGGUAAAGGCCUACCAAGCCGACGAUCCUUAGCUGGUCUGAGAGGAUGAUCAGCCACACUGGGACUGAGACACGGCCCCAGACUCCUACGGGAGGCAGCAGUGGGGAAUAUUGGACAAUGGGCGAAAGCCUGAUCCAGCAAUGCCGCGUGAGUGAUGAAGGCCUUCGGGUCGUAAAGCUCUUUUACCAGGGAUGAUAAUGACAGUACCUGGAGAAUAAGCUCCGGCUAACUCCGUG
rnacentral:rRNA from 1 species